GUUUGGUUGAGAGCCUCCUCCCAUUUACCCAUGAAUUUUGGCGCUUCCCACGGGGUCUGUGAGUUAAGGAGGGAGUAUAUAUGUGCCACUCCAUGUGGUAAUGGAUCUGGGUCUGUGCAUAUCUUUUCAAAGACAGUGAGGUCUCUGCCAAGAGCCGCCCCUUGCGGGAGGAGCCUUAUGUAGCUGCGGAGUUGUUCGUAUCUAAAG